rnacentral:rRNA from 1 species
AGAGUUUGAUCCUGGCUCAGGACUAACGCUGGCGGCGUGCCUAACACAUGCAAGUCGAGCGGGGUAGCAAUACCCAGCGGCAGACGGGUGAGUAACACGUAGUCAACCUUCCCGAUAGUGGGGGAUAACUAGCCGAAAGGUUAGCUAAUACCGCAUACGAUCUUUUGAAGGCAUCUUUAAAAGAUGAAAGGAGCAAUCCGUUCAACGACGGGACCGCGUCCCAUUAGCUAGAUGGUGGGGUAAUGGCCUACCAUGGCAACGAUGGGUAGCUGGUUUGAGAGAGCGACCAGCCACACUGGGACUGAGAAACGGCCCAGACUCCUACGGGAGGCAGCAGUGAGGAAUUUUCCGCAAUGGGCGGAAGCCUGACGGAGCGACGCCGCGUGUGGGAAGAAGGCCUUCGGGUCGUAAACCACUGUCGAAGGGGACGAUAAUGACGGUACCCUUGGAGGAAGCCCCGGCUAACUACGUGCCAGCAGCCGCGGUAAUAC